CUGCCUACGGGACGCAGCAGUGAGGAAUAUUGGUCAAUGGUCGGGAGACUGAACCAGCCAAGCCGCGUGAGGGAUGAAGGUACAGAGUAUCGUAAACCUCUUUUGUCAGGGACCAAAGGCGGGGACGUGUCCCCGGAUGCGUGUACCUGAAGAAAAAGCAUCGGCUAACUCCGUGCCAGCAGCCGCGGUAAUACGGAGGAUGCGAGCGUUAUCCGGAUUUAUUGGGUUUAAAGGGUGCGCAGGCGGUCUGUUAAGUCAGCGGUCAAACUCCGGGGCUCAACCCCGGCCCGCCGUUGAAACUGGCG
rnacentral:rRNA from 1 species